rnacentral:rRNA from 1 species
UACAGAGGGUGCAAGCGUUAAUCGGAUUUACUGGGCGUAAAGGGCGCGUAGGUGGUUGCGUAAGUGAGUUGUGAAAUCCCCGGGCUUAACCUGGGAACUGCAACUUAUACUGCGUAGCUGGAGUGCAAUAGAGGGUAGUGGAAUUUCCGGUGUAGCGGUGAAAUGCGUAGAUAUCGGAAGGAACACCGAUGGCGAAGGCAAUCCCCUGGGCCUGCACUGACGCUCAUGCACGAAAGCGUGGGGAGCAAACAGG